rnacentral:rRNA from 1 species
AUACAGAGGGUGCGAGCGUUAAUCGGAAUUACUGGGCGUAAAGCGUGUGUAGGUGGUUGUAUAAGUUAGAUGUGAAAUCCCCGGGCUUAACCUGGGAACUGCAUUGGAUACUGGGCGACUAGAGUAUGGUAGAGGGUGGCGGAAUUUCUGGUGUAGCGGUGAAAUGCGUAGAUAUCAGAAAGAACACCAAUGGCGAAGGCAGCCACCUGGGCCAAUACUGACGCUGAGGUACGAAAGCGUGGGGAGC